rnacentral:rRNA from 1 species
UGGGGUAUAUUGGACAAUGGGCGCAAGCCUGAUCCAGCCAUGCCGCGUGAGUGAUGAAGGCUCUAGGGUUGUACAGCUCUUUCACCGGUGAAGAUAAUGACGGUAACCGGAGAAGAAGCCCCGGCUAACUUCGUGCCAGCAGCCGCGGUAAUACGAAGGGGGCUAGCGUUGUUCGGAUUUACUGGCCGUAAAGCGCACGUAGGCGGACUUUUAAGUCAGGGGUGAAAUCCCGGGGCUCAACCCCGGAACUGCCUUUGAUACUGGAAGUAUUGAGUAUGGUAGAGGUGAGUGGAAUUCCGGGUGUAGAAGUGGAAUUCGGAGAUAUUCGGAGGAACAACAGUGGCGAAGGCGGCUCACUGGACCAUUACUGACGAUGAGGUGCGAAAGCAUGGGGAGCAAAGAGG